UUGGCUAUUUCUUUUCUCACUAAUUUGUGGAUUGGUUGAGAGGACAGUCCAGAGCUGAUCAGUACAGCUCCCAGCCCAGAGCAGGCUCUUAGCAACACUGGGAGAGAUGAUGGCAACAUUCGAAAAAAGUGGCUGAGCCUAUCUGACCUGGAGUCAGCACUGUGGGACCAGGAACAAGUGACCUACCUCUUGAGGCCUGGUGUGACACAUGGAUGGCAGGCUGGAAAGUUUAUUUUUGAGUGGCAGCUGAGGAUGGUCAGCAGGCCAAGGUGCAAAUCCUGACCGUGAAGGAACUGGCACAAAGUUUGCACUCG
rnacentral:lncRNA from 1 species